rnacentral:rRNA from 1 species
GCACAAGCGGUGGAUGAUUGUGGUUUAAUUCGAUGCAACGCGAAAACCUUACCACCUUUGACAUGGCAGGAAUCCUAAAGAGAUUUGGGAGUGCUCGAAAGAGAACCUGCACACAGGUGCUGCAUGGCUGUCGUCAGCUCGUGUCGUGAGAUGUUGGGUUAAGUCCCGCAACGAGCGCAACCCUUGUCCUUAGUUGCUACGCAAGAGCACUCUAAGGAGACUGCCGGUGACAAACCGGAGGAAGGUGGGGAUGACGUCAAGUCCUCAUGGCCCUUAUGGGUAGGGCUUCACACGUCAUACAAUGGUCGGUACAGAGGGUUGCCAAGCCGCGAGGUGGAGCUAAUCCCAUAAAACCGAUCGUAGUCCGGAUCGCAGUCUGCAACUCGACUGCGUGAAGUCGGAAUCGCUAGUAAUCGUGAAUCAGAAUGUCACGGUGAAUACGUUCCCGGGCCUU